GUUUGUAGCAGGGUUUGGUUCUUGGGUUGGGGUUUUUGUUGGGUGGUGUGUAGUUGCUGGUGGGUAUUUGCUUCAGGUUGGGGGAUGCAUGAGGGGCUAGAGGGUCUGAAGGGGACUGUCUGUGGCUUCAUAGUAACUAAUAUAGUACUUUGGAAGCAGACAUUUAUUAUUGGCUUGGUGAAGUCUUGUGAUCGAGUAUACCAUCAGUUAGGGGUACAUGCCCUGUUUUCUGGCAGUCUGACCUGAGAUUGGCACUCUUAGUUGUGUCCCAUAUCAGGCAGUGUGACCGUUACAAUGCACAUUUGUCUAGGCCCAACAGUACUUCAGACUCUGCAAGAUAUACAGGGAGGGCACACAACCUAGCAAUCUUACCCUGAUUGAGGAAUCCCUCCCCACACUUUCGAUCAAUUUUCUUUGAUUAACCUACCAGGCAGGUGAAUUCUGACACCACUCUCAUGUUCUCUCUCAUUGUCCAGCAGAAAUUCUGGUGGGGUUUACUAAGAUAUUUUCUCUGAGGAGAGGGGGAUAGCCUCCUGCACGAGGUGCUUUACAGAAAUGGAAUUACAAGAUACGUGGGAGAUGCUAUGCUACUUAUACCACAAGGCUAGAGACAUAUGUUGUCUCUGUGCCCUUACACCUCCAGUCCAGAUGCCACAUUUCAGUGGUCUGAAAUCCAAGCUGAGUAAAUCCCACCUCAAGGAGAUACUGGUGCAUACCCAGAAAAUUCAUUUAAAAAAAAAAAAGAGGGAGGAACUUCUCACUUAUCUAUUUUCCUUCCCUAAACAGGCUCUCACAAACAUGUCAGUAAGGGGAAAGAAAUAAGAAAAAUCUGCUCUCUCUUAUAUUUGUUCCUAACAUAAAAAUAUAUAUGUACUCGUCCCCUCCCACCCCUCUGCCCCGCCCCACUCACCGUGAGUGUAUUGAUAGCAGUUUUCAGCUUGUGCUAUUUGAAGUGUGAAUUAGGGAAGAAGACCUUGUAAGGGUCCGAGGGGCAUGCUCCCAAUGGAAAUUGUUUUAAAAUGUGCAUAUCUGCCAUUUGGUGCAAUCUGGUCCCUUUCAAAGUUUAAAAAAUAUGCUCCUCAGCUAUAGUUUCAUGAUCCCCAGGGACGUGUAUUUCUGUCAGGAAUGAUUCAGUAACAUCCACCAGGGCUAUGAGAGGAGGGUGAACUCCUGAGGCUGGAAAUCCGCCAACCUCCCUUUGUUGACAGAUCGUUAACAAAGGGGAGCCUGAGAAUGCCCAACAGCAUCAUCAUGGAGGGACUGGGCCACACUGAUUAAAGUUUCUCACUGCUAGAGGUCUUCCCCCCAGCUCCAAACACCAGCCAACACAAUACAGAGGAAGCUUGAGCUGCUGCUGUUCGGUAAUAAAGAGAGGAAAUCGCUACCUAGGGCUAUUAAU
rnacentral:lncRNA from 1 species